CCUACGGGGGGCAGCAGUGAGGAAUAUUGGUCAAUGGACGAGAGUCUGAACCAGCCAAGUAGCGUGAAGGAUGACUGCCCUAUGGGUUGUAAACUUCUUUUAUAUGGGAAUAAAAUGUUCCACGUGUGGGAUUUUGUAUGUACCCUCUGAAUAAGGAUCGGCUAACUCCGUGCCAGCAGCCGCGGUAAUCCGGAGGAUCCGAGCGUUAUCCGGCUUUAUUGUGUUUAAAGGGAGCGUAGGUGGAGUGUUAAGUCAGUUGUGAAAGUUUGCGGCUCAACCGUAAAAUUGCAGUUGAAACUGGCAGUCUUGAGUACAGGAGAGGUGGGCGGAAUUCGUGGUGUAGCGGUGAAAUGCUUAGAUAUCACGAAGAACUCCGAUUGCGAAGGCAGUUCACUGGACUGCAACUGACACUGAGGCUCGAAAGUGUGGGUAUCAAACAGGAUUAGAUACCCGAGUAGUC
rnacentral:rRNA from 1 species